AACGGUCAUUAAGUUCAAAAUAGGUUUUAAUUGCUUUUAAAAUAAAUAAAAGAGGAAGAACUGGGAACGUGAAACAAAGCUUCACAAAAGACUCGUCCAUCUUUCCUCAAGAAGACAAACCCGUUCUCUCAGCCUCACCCAAUCUCUCAACCUCUCGCACCAUACCAACCUCUCGCACCAUACUCUCUCUCACUUCUCAAACAAACCAAACCGAAAAUCAAUGAAGCAAACAUUUUAAAAGAUACCUGCUAGGCGUGUCAACAGUAGCGGCGGCAGAGUGUAUCUUCAGAUGCAGUUGUGGUGGUUCAUCGGCCUUUGGGGUUUUGUGGUGGCGAUAUAGUAGCCGUCGAAAAUUUUAGGGUUUUUUCGUCCUCCGCUGUCUCCUUUCUCUCUUCUCUAGGGUUUUUCUUCGUCCUCACUGGUGGAGGAGGAGGCUCCUUUUAUACUCACCUUGUUUAGGGUUUUAAGCUGGUUACUCAGAUCAAAAGGGGUACCCCUGCGAAAUCCUUUAGGGUGCUCACAGUUGUCUACCUCAUUUGGUGUUUCGUCUGGAAAAGUGAAAUGCGAGCAAAUGAAUGGAGAGGGUGUCUUCGCAAUGCAUUGAGGUUCAGUGUUGCUUUACGACGAGUGCAAGUCCUUGGUCGAGCUUGGCUUUGAUUUUUCUUGUGUUAAUGCUGUGAUUUUGUGUUGAAGUGAUGAAGUUGCCUUGUUCGAGUAAGAGUUGGAUUAGUUUGGGAUUUUGGUCUGUUUAUGGUGCUCAGUGCUCUCACAUCACGACUUAUACGGUACGAGACUCCGUUGAUCAAGCUUCUUUCUUUGAACUCUUCCGGCUUACAAGACCACGAAUCCUCUUCCAACAUGAACAUUCAAAAUAAGUUAUGCAGAAUUGCUAUUGCCCAUUGCUCGGCAGCAGUCGCCGAGCAUACCCAAGACUGCUCCAAGUUGUGAACAUAACUCUGAAGUGUUACCAACUUUUUCUAUCUGACUACGAAUGUCUUCUGCACAUAGGCUGAGUCUUGAUUUGGCACUUCCUAAAUUCUGAGCACGGAAUGCCUCAUGGCCUAUUGUACUAAGAAAGAACCUCUUUCCAUAGACACAUCUUCGUAUAUAACCGACUCAUUAUUCUCUGUUACUUCUUCGCCUUUGUUUAAAUUAACAGACCUUUUGAUCCUAGCAGAACCUUCAAUAAAGCGAUCGACUACGCCUUGAAGAUUGUCAUCGGGCUCAAUCUUCUACAGUUCAUUGCCAUAAUGUUUUUAUUUCAGAUUUUUUUUAUGCACAUUUUUUGACCUUUUGCAGAUGUGGACACAAUCACAGCAGCAACAACUAAUUCUAACAAAAACGCAUCAGCUAUAUUGCUUAAGAGGAAGCCUUGAUUCAGAAGCUGGUUGAUGAACGGAGUUUCUAUUUGGCAUUGGUAUUGCUGUUCUGCUCCAUCCGAGAAAAAAUCUGUUGGAGGAAUGAGAACACUGCAUUUACUUCUCUUGACUUUGUAGCCGACCACCGAAGAUCCUAUGAAUAAAACCUUUUAUCAAAAGCAACAGGUGAUUCCCUGGUCACUCCAGGAGGUUUACAACCAUGUCUGCGGGUGAUGGAUCAUGAAAACCAGUUGACGUUAAAGAAAAGGAAAUAGAAACUGUCCUGAAGUGAACAACGAAUAAGAUUUUCUCGAGAUUGCUUGGUCCAAUGUUAAUGACCAACAACUAAUUUAUUGUAUCAUUUGUAAUGCUCAAAAGUUGAAUAGUCUGUUAAUUGCUGCGAACUAACAGAAGUUGCUUUCGUGUAUGCCUUUUUAUACCAUUCAAAAUAGUUUGAAUAGCGACGGCUGGUAGCACACAUAUAAGGGCGACAGCCCUUGUUAUAUGAUGAUCACAGGAACAGGACAACAUUAUGGGGAACUUCCAUACAGACUGAGCAGAUAAAAGAUAUGGGGUUUCCCUGUGACCUCGAGACCGGGACUUGCACCGCAUCUUACCAACUUUAGCCAUUUUAAAACUGAACCUGGAACUUCUCUAGAGCAAUGUAUUUGAUGAUCCUCACUACGCUCAUGAUCUGCUGCCCUCAUUCUAUACCAACAGGAGCCAUUCGUAUUAAUUGUUGAUACGGUUUUGCAGUCUUCCGCUACCAAAAGUCCAAGCAAGAACAAGAACCAUGCUUAAAGUGAUGAAAGCGAUGACGAUCCCUUACGACAAUUUCAUGAUCAAAUGCUUUGGAGAUUAGCUUUACUACGGUCACGCACACAUGGACAGGAUUAGCGUGAAGGCUCCCACUUGCAACUGCUGAAUUGUCUUGGAUUGAAUGAAGAGAAAGACUAAGAUCCCGUGUCGAGCUGUUUGUUCUUGAGAUUAUACAAGAAGAGUAGCUUUGAAAAUUCAUCAACCCGUCGGAAAAACGCAAUAGCAUCAUUAUCAACACUUGAUUGAAUGAAACCUAAAUGAUUAUGGUUCUGCUGCAAACUGUAACCAGAAGAUCCUCAAUUUUCCGCCGCGAUGACCAUUUUAAUUUUUUGUAAACCAUUAUUGUUAUCCUCCUUGUACUUGAAUUAUUUCUCCACCAGUACUCUUCAUUAAUUUCUCCAGUUUGGAAAUUUCAAAACAAUGCUUAUAUUAUGCUUA